UACGGGGGGGGGCAAGCGUUGUUCGGAUUUACUGGGCGUAAAGGGCGCGUAGGCGGCGUGACUAGUCACUUGUGAAAUCUCCGGGCUUAACUCGGAAAGGUCAAGUGAUACUGUCGUGCUAGAGUACAGAAGGGGCAACUGGAAUUCUCGGUGUAGCGGUGAAAUGCGUAGAUAUCGGAAGGAACAUCAGUGGCGAAAGCGACUUCCUGGUCCAGCAUCGACGUUCAGGCAC
rnacentral:rRNA from 1 species